GUCAGGGAAGGCUUCUCUGAUGAGCUGACAUUUGAGCAGGGACAUGCAUGGUAACAGUCUCUAGCCUUAUGAAGCUCAGUAAGAACCACGUCCCUGAGGUUGGAACAAAUGGACAAAAUGAAGAGGAGAAGAUGGCAGAUUGCUUAAUUUCUUGAAAUGUGAUGAUCAAGAACACAGCUUGGAAGUUCAACGGACCGUAAGUUUGAGCCAAGACUGAACCGCAAAGGACACAUUCCUACUUUCACAGGUGUGGGAUGCUUUUCAUGUUAAUUAUAUGUGAAUGAGAAAAGCCACAUGCAAACAAAGUCGCCUGCAGCUGGACUAAGUAGCUACAGUAUGAGGAGGAGCACGGGAGAUGUUUGUGCAGUAUAAAAAUGAUGAAAUCCCAAGACGAUGGUCUUAGGUUGUAAAUGAAUGAGAUCUUCUGAAUCUGGGAGAUGGAGAUCUUUUUGGUUCUUCUGCUAACAUAGUUAAGGUCAAUAUAAAGAAAAUGAAUGUUUUCUAGAAUCCACAUUGGCUCACGUUUUUGGCCUAGUUGAUUUUGCAGCAAAGGAGAAAACUUCAAAAAGUUGUGCUCUCUCUGGGCCCUGCAGUGAAGUUUUGGCCUGGUGCCUAGAAACACCUCCAUGUUACUCAGAACAAGGCGAGGUGCAAACCAAACCAAUGGCACGGAAGGUCCCUUGCUGCUUCUAGAAUCUGGUGUGUGUCCGUGAUCCCACUCUUCUCUGCACCUCUGCCUGCUCUCCCAAAUGAAGACUGCCCAUCCGGCUCAUCACCUUGGUCCUACCUAGCUUUCCAGGCCAAGUUCAAAUUCUUCCUUUGCAAUGGAACUGAGGACCACCUCAUUGGUCCCAUAUAUCUCUUCUCUUCUUGAUCCAAAUCCCUGCUCAAAAGGAAGAUUAGCCCUGAGCUAACAUCCAUGCCCAUCUUCCUCUAUCUUAUAUGUGGCAUGCUGCCACAGCAUGGCUUGAUAAGUGGUGUGUAGGUCCAUGCCCAGGAUCUGGGCUGGCAAACCCUGGGCCACUGAAGUGGAACACUCAAACUUAACCACCACGCCACCCGGCUGGCCCCCUUCGGACACAACUUUUAACCUUCAUCAGCCUCAAGUGACCACCUGUAAAACGGCUACAAGGUCUGACUGUCUAUGAGGCUGUGAGCACUUGGUGAUGUUUAAUAAACAGGGCCUGGACUAGGGCAAGAAUGGCCAGAGGCAGAACCAGAAACGUAGGGAGAAGGUUUUCCUUUGCAGCUUUCUGAGAGCCCUUACAAGCACUUGAUCUUUGUUCCCUUCAGCAACAAUGGAUGAGAGUAUACAACAUUGGAGCCACAAAGUGUGAACUGACGUAUGAAUUGGAGAAAGAUGUUUGCCGGGUAGGAGGAAUGUGGAAGACCACGCUGGCUCCAAACUGUGAAGACUGAGGCACAUAUUAGAAGAGUCUUCUCCCCAACAGCUCCCAUCUAUACCAGUUACCAGUUUGCUGCUUCUACCCCAACGACCAGGCCGUCUCCCCUACGCAGAAACCUAUUAACCCUAGGAGGUG
rnacentral:lncRNA from 1 species